UCCGGACGGGAUAAGCGCUGAAGGCAUCUAAGCGCGAAGCCCCCCUCCAGAUAAGGUUUCCCACCUUCUCGAGGUUCGAGGUUCGAAGUUGGAGGUUCGAAUCUAAAAAAAGAAAAGAAAAUAAAGUCUCGAACAUCGAAUUUCGAACCUCGAGAAGGGUAAGACCCCUGGUAGACUACCAGGUAGAUAGGCCGGGCGUGUAAGUCCCGUGAGGGAUUGAGCGGACCGGUACUAAUCGGUCGAGGGCUUGACCUG
rnacentral:rRNA from 1 species